GACGAACGCUGGCGGCGUGCCUAACACAUGCAAGUCGAACGAGAUCUUCGGAUCUAGUGGCGCACGGGUGCGUAACGCGUGGGAAUCUGCCCUUGGGUUCGGAAUAACAGUGAGAAAUUACUGCUAAUACCGGAUGAUGCCUUCGGACCAAAGAUUUAUUGCCCAGGGAUGAGCCCGCGUAGGAUUAGCUAGUUGGUGGGGUAAUGGCCUACCAAGGCGACGAUCCUUAGCUGGUCUGAGAGGAUGAUCAGCCACACUGGGACUGAGACACGGCCCAUACUCCUACGGGAGGCAGCAGUGGGGAAUAUUGGACAAUGGGCGAAAGCCUGAUCCAGCAAUGCCGCGUGAGUGAUGAAGGCCUUAGGGUUGUAAAGCUCUUUUACCAGGGAUGAUAAUGACAGUACCUGGAGAAUAAGCUCCGGCUAACUCCGUGCCAGCCGCCGCUGUAA
rnacentral:rRNA from 1 species